GCGCCCGUAGCUCAAUUGGAUAGAGCGUCAGUCUACGGAACUGAAUGUUGGCCGUUCAAACCGGCCCGGGCGCG
rnacentral:tRNA from 5 species